rnacentral:misc_RNA from 1 species
CAGUUUAUUUAAAAAAUCAAACAAAAUUGGACAUUUAAAUUCCUUUUAAACUUAUAAAGCACUAUGAAAUGGGCUUAUAUCCCCAAGGACAUGUUUCUAUAUAUUAUCUUAAAUCAUGAAUCAAUCAAUUGCACACCAGUAAAGAUACAAAAUAUUUCUUUCAGUGCCUCAUCACUUCUAGAUCCCUGAGAGAGUGAUGCGCCCGUAGUAACCGCAAACAUUUGACCAGGAGCCCUCGGGUGCUGCGGCGCCUGUUCCUGUUCCAGUUUCACUGGCAGGACCUCCCCUUCAAUGUGGCUAUGGAUGUGGUCAUCCUGCGUCCGGUCGGUCGGACAUGCGUCCGUUUAGUCCCCCAAUCCGGAAUUUGCUGGUGGCGCUGGAACCCGCUGGGUGUCACACUCGGACACUCGCAUGACACAUGCAAAUUUUCCACUCGCAUCCCCCAGAACAGCCACAUCCACAUCCGCAUCCGCAUCCUCAUCCGCUUCUACCGGCAAUGUGUCAUGCGAGUGCUAGUCGCCACUUAAUUCAUUUGAUGCCGUAAUUUGGCAAUUUCUCGCAGAUUUCCACAGUCUGACAUUCGGAUUUGAUCAAUUAAUUUGAAUAACACCGGUCAUUUAUCAUGUCGCGGCCCCGGAUGCGAAAGGGUUGUCCCGGCUGGCUGGCUGACAGGAUAUCCCCAGGUCUAGGGUUGCUGAUUGGAGGCGGCCGACGAAGUUAAUCCCCCCAUCGUGUGACUUCAGUUUGGGGAGAGUGUCAUUAGAUAUAUGUGUGUAGAAGCUGUGCCACUUUACCAAGUCAGGUAAACAAAUAAACUAAAUCAAAUUGUUAUAUUUUGCAUGCAACUUGAGCUAAGAACUAUUAAUUUCGUUAGAAGUCAAAGGAGAAUUUAACCCUCAAAAAUUAUUGUCUGUAUAUAAGCAUUUCCACUGCCGCAAGUAAUCAUAAUAAAUGACAAAGAAAAUGCCUAAAUUACGUUUU